UACGGGGGGGGCAAGCGUUGUUCGGAAUUACUGGGCGUAAAGGGCGCGUAGGCGGCGCAACAAGUCACUUGUGAAAUCUCCGGGCUUAACCCGGAGCGGCCAAGUGAUACUGUCGUGCUAGAGUGCGGAAGGGGCUACUGGAAUUCUCGGUGUAGCGGUGAAAUGCGUAGAUAUCGAGAGGAACACCUGCGGCGAAGGCGGGUAGCUGGGCCGACACUGACGCUGAGGCGCGAAAGCCAGGGAGGCGAACGGG
rnacentral:rRNA from 1 species